GCCGGGCGGGGCGGGCGGGGAGACAAAGGUCCUUGUGGAUGGGUGGGGUGGGAGGCAGGCGGGGGAAGCUUUUUUUUCUUCUUAAAGGGACAGGCCUUAUAUCCGGGAUUGUGGGGUGAGUUGCAGCAGCGGCAGCUGCACAUGUGGGUUUGUUUAUAAGAACAAGGUUAGAAACUCGCAGGCCUCCCCCUCCCCCCAGCUCCUCCCUGCUACCCCCUUGCAGACCGGAGAUCCGCCGCUGGGGUGGGAGAGGACUGUGUGCGUGUGGUGGGUGGGGGGACAGGUAGUGGUGGGGAAGACGGAGGGGGGGGAUGUUGCACCGCCCGGCCCGCGCCGGAGGAAGCGGCAGCCGGGGCAGCUGGCUGGGGAGCCGCUUGCAUGCCUCUGGUGUCUUCUUUCUCAUUCCCGCCGCCCGAGUCCCCUCGCCCUCCGCCCACCCCGCAUCCACUGCAGUUCGCGCGGCCUGGGGCCCCCGCGGGCCACCGCGCCGGGAGGGAGCGUGCUCGGAGCUGCGGCCGCGCUCGGUGGGGCCCGGGCGAGUCUGGAAGCGGCUCCCGGGCGGCGGCCGCAGGGCGGGGGAGCGGAGACCCCGCGCCCCCUCCCCGUGCCUCGCUCCGCGCCUCUCGGAGGGGCCGCAGGGUUUUAGGAAGGCGGCGGGGGAAUCGGUACAUUAUUGCUGGAGGCGGUGGGAGGAGGGAUUUGUCACCGGAAGUGACCGAGCCUAGCCCGAAUUGGGGACCCAGCGGAGGUGCGGGUGGGCAGCCGGGCGGUGCAGUCCCUGGCCGGCGCCCGAGGCGGCGGGCGCCCUGCCAGCCUCGCUCGUCGGGACGUUUGCUCCCGCUGCCCCGGCCUCCGGCGUCUGUAGUUGACAUAUUUAAUUGCCCAAGAAAUUGCCCCCUUGAAAUUCAGCCGGGGUGGCCACAUCUUGAUGCAGAGUGAGAUGGGAGGACACGAGCCAUCUGAAUGGAGCCUGGGCUCCAGCUUACACGCCCACUCUUCUCCCUUUCCAUUUUAGAGGAAUUUUAAAGCAAAACACACGUACACUCCGGGCUGGACAGAGCACCCCUGGCUGAGCCGGCGCGGGGCCGUCGUGCGGCUUGGGGCGCUUGCUCAUCAUCGCUGCCUUUAGUUUUGUUUCUAGGGCAAGGUAGGGGAGGCUUUUGUUUUCCCCAGAAAGGCAGGUUUAUUUCCCCCGGAGGAGAGUUCUGAAGCAGGAGGAUGAAAUAGAGCGAUUACCUUGUCCAAGUCUUGCAGAGCAAUGCACUAGCCCUAUGUUUUAUGAGCUAUUGAUUGAUGUAACCAAAGAAGGAGUAGAAAAGACCCAUUUUGCUGGAAGGGAGGGUUGAGGCCCUCAUCUGCGUCUCUUGGGUUUCGCAGCUGUGAACCUGCCCCAUCGCGUCUGUACCCGAAGGUUCACUGGACUUGGGGUUGCAGCUGGUGUGAUAUUCUCAGAGUGAGCCCUGAUGAAUCUGUGUUGGCUGUAUCCAAAGUGGAGCUGGAAGUCAUUUGGACUUCCCAGGAGCCUCAUGUCUGCCCAUCAGCAGGUUUUUGUCGGCCCUGGUAGACUUUGGAAGUCUUUGAAUAUUUAAAGCUGGCUAGUUCCAACUUUCAAGAGGAGGAAGCAGUAAGGGUCGAAAGUGGACGGGCCAGCUAGUUGGCCCAGUGUGUUGGGGAGUUUCAGAGACUGAUGAAGAGGCCCAAGUGGGACUGGACAGGGGUCAGCGAUGCGGUCAGGGUGGCAGUCAGUUGGCAGUGUGCAGGCUGAGGUCUGUGGGAAGUCCUGGGUACCAGUUCAAAAGCAGUGGGAAGGCUGCGAAACUACUGGGUGGCCAGACUGCAUGUGCUUGCUCUUUCUGACAUUUAAGGCAGUGGAUUCAGCGUGCUUCCUUGAAAUGGACCGCAGCCCCUCGGAGGUAAGUGCCUGUUCUGAUGGAAGGGAAAGAGGGAGAUUCCCCCUCCCGCAGAACUGUGGCAAAGAGCGGCAGCCGUGAGGGACACGUCCCGCCAUUCAACUGCCCUCCUGUCCACUUCUUGGAAAAUGAUAGAAUUUUAGGUGCCACGGACUUUCACAUUUACUAUGGUUCUGUUUGUUAGAAUGACUUAAAAAAAAUUGAUUUGGGACCAGUGCUGUGGCGUAGCAGGUAAAGCCGCCGCCUGCAGUGCCAGCAUCCCAUAUGGGCACUGGUUCUGGUCUCAGCUGCUCCACUUCCCAUCCAGCUCUCUGCUAUGGCCUGGGAAAGCAGUAGAGGAUGGCCCAACUGCUUGGGCCCUUUCACCCAGGUGGGAGACCUGGAAGAAGCUCCUGGCUCCUGGCUUCGGAUCGGCGCAGUUCCGGCUGUUGUGGCCAUUUAGGGAGUGAACCAGCGGAUGGAAGACCUCUCUCUCUCUGUUUAACUCUGACUUUCAAGUAAAAUAAAUACAUCUUAAAAAAAAAAAAAAAAAAAAAAAAAGGUUGAUUUGCUGCAAAGUCAGAAUUGUAGAGAGAGGGAGAAACAGAGAAGCAGAGAUCUUCCAUCUGCUGCUCUACCCCCUAAAUGGCCACAAGGGCCGGGGCUGGGCCAGGAUGAAGCCAGGAGCCUGGAGCUCCAUCUGGGACUCCCGUGUGGGUGGCAGAGGCCCAAGCACUCAGGCCAUCCUCUUCUGCUUUCCCAGGCACAUUAGCGGAGAGCUGGAUCAGAAGUAGAGCAGCCAAGAUUCAAACCUGGAGUCCCAGGUGACAGCUUAACCCAGUGGACCACGAUACUGUUCCCUGGACUCACUUUUUUAGCUUUAAAGAACUUUCCCAACAUGUGUGAAAUAGUGUUGCCAGAACUCGUGUACUCAUCAUUCAGCUUCUACAGUUACCUGCUGAUGAUCUUGCUGCUUCUAAAACCCUGCCCCCACCCCCACCCCAGCAGAUCUCAGCUAGUGUGUCAUUUCAUAUUGGAUGGUCUCUAAAGGCUUCUAUGUAUAGCUCUAAAAGACUAGGACUUCUCUCUUGAUUUUUCCCCCAGUUUUACAGUUCAUUUGAUGGCAAUUGGUAAAAUCACAAAAUUUCUCGACUUAUGACCCCUUUAGACAGAAGUCUGCAAAUUAGCACUGAUCGUUUGCAAAAGCCAUUAUACUAACUGUACUGUCAUUAUACUUAAGGUUGAUCAAGGGUAACCUAGAAUUAGUCAUUAUGUGAUCAUACAAAAUCAUAUAAUAAAUAUUUAUUAUGUAAAUGAUGUUAUAUAGCAUAAUGAAUCACACCUGGUAUAUCACCCCAAUUUAUAAAAUAAGACCUAGAGAAAGAACUAGAUUUGGGGACACAUAUGACUCCUCUUUGGAAAAAAAAGACAAAAAAAAGGCACAAGAAAGUUCUUAAUAUCAUCAGAUGUCCAGUCUCAUUUCUCUAAUUAUCCUAAGAUUUCUCUCUCUCUCUCUCUCUUAAAGAUUCUAUUUACUUAUUUAUUUGAGAGAGUUAUAGAGAGAGGGAGAGACAGAGAGAAAGGUCUUCCAUCUGCUGAUUCACUCCCCAAAUGGCCUCAGCUGCUGGAGCUGGGCCCAUUGGAAGCCAGGAGCCAGGAGCUUCUUCUGGGUCUCCCAUGCAGGUGGCAGGGAGCUGGACCAGCAAUUGAGAAGCAAGGACUCAAACCAGUGCCGAUUUGGGAUGCCGUUGCCACAGGCUAAGGCUUAGCCUACUACACCACAGCGCAGGCCCUAUGAUUUCUCUUUUUUGAAGAGUUACUUUAUUUAUUUGAAGGUGGAGUAAAAGAGAGAGAGAAACAGAGAAAGAGAUCUUCCAUCCACUGGUUCACUCUCCAAAAGGCCACAACAGCCAGGGCUGGACCAGGCCAAAGCCAGGAGCCUGGAACUCCAUCCAGGUCUUCCACGUGGGUGGCAGGGACCCAAGUACUUGGGCCAUCCUCUGCUGCUUUCCUAGGUGCAUUAGCAGAAGCUGGAUCGGAAGUGGAGCAGCCAGGACUCGAACCAGUGCUCUGAUAUGGGAUGCCAGCCUUGCAGGCAGCAGCUUAACCCACUGCUCUACAACUCUAGUCCCCGAGUUCUCUUUCUUUAAAAAGUCUUUUUAUUUGAAAAAGAAUCCAAACAAUUCCACAUUGUGUCCCUUAAAUCACUUUUUUUAAAAAGAUUUAUUUUAUUUAUUUGAAAGACAGAGUUACAGAGCAAGAGAGAGAGAGAGAGAAAGAGGUCUUCCAUCUGGUGGUUCACUCCCCAAAUGACCGCAACGGCCAGAGCUGAGCUAAUCCAAAGCCAGGAGCUUCUUCCAAGUCUCCCACACUGGUGCAGGGGCCCAAGUGCUUGGGCCAUCUUCUACUGCUUUCUGAGGCCAUAGCAGGGAGCUGGACCAGAAGUGGAGCAGCUGGGACUUGAACUGGCGCCCAUAUGGGAUGCCGCUGCUGUAGGCUGCAGCUUUAAUCUGCUGCACCACAGCGCCGGCCCCCCACCCUUAAAUCACUUUUAAUGUGUGGGUCCCCUCCUUUCUCAAUUGUUUUGUUGAAGAAAGGAUAAUUUGUUCAGUAGAGUUUCCUACAGUCUAGAUUUUGAUGGUUGUUUUCCUAUGUGGUGUUUGCCAGAUUUUAAGUAUUUGUGGUAUUGAUUGGAUCGUUUAAUUUCAUGAAGUGAAUCUCGUGUUUGUAGUUACGUGUGCCAGGAAAUAAAUAAUAAAAUAGCAAAAGUGUUUAAGCAAAACAAAGCAGUCAUUGGCUUUGGUUACGCUGCAAAGGAACUAAGCUCUCAGGAGUUCUAUGCAGUUUCUCAGAGACCCCGUGCAGGUGGAAGAUGCCACCACACUCGGGCAAGUAAAACAGGUGCAGCCCCCAUUUGCUAGGGGUUUGGUGCGGAAGGAGGCAUCGCCUCUUUGUGGUUCAGCAGGCCUUGGCUGUUCCUGCAGAGCUGUGUGUGUAUCAGAUGUUACCUUGCCCAUCCUGCCUGGAAGGCUGACUUUGCUGGCACAGAGGCAGUGAAGGGCGACAGCUCUGAAGACCUGUGCUGGUGUUGAAACGGCUCCAGAUUUGGCUGGGAAGCGGGGCAGGAGCCGCCUUCUCUUUCUGCUUUUGCCCCAGCUCUCUCCUCCCCCUCAGCCCUUUACCUUCUAGAACGUCUCUCACCAUUGCACACUCAGUGUGUAGGGCAGGGGCUGCCACCUGUUUGUUUAUCUAAUAUCUGUUUGUUCAGCCCUGACCGUGCCUCACACUAACCCAGGGAGGCCCUAGGGCUGCCAAAAUAAAGACAGAGGUAGUCCCUGUCCGCCUUACGGGACCUAAUCUGGGCAAAUAAUCACUCAGGCCUCCAAAGCUGUUAAUGGUGACAGCUGACCGUAAGGCUCGGGCACGUCUGAAGGCCCCUGGAAAGGCUGCCAUUGUGAGCAAAGCUUCGAGAGAGGAGAGAGAAGACGUACAGUGCACAAUGCGAGAACCGAAGUUCGGAGGUAGAGGAGCAGGCGAGCGGUUUGCCCGGGCGCAGAGCAUGAAGGCCGGGCGGGCGCGGGGAGCGGGCGCCCGCCGCCCGGCGCGGGGGUGAGCGAGAGAGAGAGCGGAGCGCGUGUGGCCGGCGCCGCUCGGCCGGGAGCUCCCGCGCCCGCGCCCCGCGCCCCGCGCCCGCCGCCGCCGCCGCCGCCGCCCCUGGUGCGAUGGCGCAGAAACCCCGUUGACAAGGCACUGCUUUUUCAUGACGGUGAGUUUCCCUUUGAGUGUAUUAUAAUUUUGUGAUAAAAAUUUCAAGGAGAAAAAAAAAAACACACAACCUCCUUCCUCUGCCUCUUUCCUUCGGGGAGGGGAAAAGCGAGGGAGGGGGGGCUGGAGAUCUAUCUCUAGACAGACAGAGAAGAAAGAGGAGCAAAUUAAACACCGAGUUGCCAAAACCAGGAUAUUAGGUUUCAGCCCAGAGAGCUAUUGGC